CGAUGAGUCACUGCUUGAGGAGGGUGAACCGCUGGAGCCUGGGGAGCUCCAGCUGAACGAGCUGACUGUGGAGAGCGUGCAGCACACGCUGACCUCAGUGACAGAUGAGCUGGCUGUGGCCACCGAGAUGGUGUUCAGGCGGCAGGAGAUGGUUACGCAGCUGCAACAGGAGCUCCGGAAAGAAGAGGAGAACACCCACCCCCGGGGGCGGGUGCAGCUGCUGGGCAAGAGGCAGGUGCUGCAAGAAGCACUGCAGGGGCUGCAGGUAGCGCUCUGCGGCCAGGCCAAGCUGCAGGCCCAGCAGGAGUUGCUGCAGACCAAGCUGGAGCAGCUGGGCCCCGGUGAGCCCCCGCCUGUGCUGCUCCUGCAGGAUGACCGCCACUCCACGUCGUCCUCGCCUGGCCACCCGCUGACGUCUGUCCCUGGCCUCAGGAGCAGGAGCGAGAGGGGGGAAGGACGCCCACGCUGGAGAUCCUUAAGAGCCACAUCUCAGGAAUCUUCCGCCCCAAGUUCUCGCUCCCUCCACCACUGCAGCUAGUUCCGGAGGUGCAGAAGCC
rnacentral:sRNA from 1 species